ACUUCUUCCCAUUAAUGUCAUAAACAUAGAUACCCUCAGAUUUCUCUACGACUAGAGGAUGCAAAUCAGUACUCUGCCACCCAGCAGUGAAUGGCGCCAACAUAUCAUGCCCCUUAUAACCUCCACCAUCCCUGGAAUUGGUGGUUGAAUCUACCUUCUGCAAAGAUGCCUCUGUACUAUAAAAUUUGGCCAGGAAAGGAGCCUGAA
rnacentral:misc_RNA from 1 species